GAUGAACGCUGACAGAAUGCUUAACACAUGCAAGUCAACUUGAAUUUGGGUUUUUAACUUAGGUUUGGGUGGCGGACGGGUGAGUAACGCGUAAAGAACUUGCCUCACAGCUAGGGACAACAUUUGGAAACGAUUGCUAAUACCUAAUAUUAUGAUAAUAGGGCAUCCUAUAAUUAUGAAAGCUAUAAGCGCUGUGAGAGAGCUUUGCGUCCCAUUAGCUAGUUGGAGAGGUAACGGCUCACCAAGGCGAUGAUGGGUAGCCGGCCUGAGAGGGUGAUCGGCCACAAGGGGACUGAGACACGGCCCUUACUCCUACGGGAGGCAGCAGUGGGGAAUAUUGGACAAUGGACCGAGAGUCUGAUCCAGCAAUUCUGUGUGCACGAUGAAGUUUUUCGGAAUGUAAAGUGCUUUCAGUUGGGAAGAAACAAAUGACGGUACCAACAGAAGAAGUGACGGCUAAAUACGUG
rnacentral:rRNA from 1 species